rnacentral:rRNA from 1 species
AGUGAACGCUGGCGGUAGGCCUAACACAUGCAAGUCGAACGGCCGCACAGUAAGCGCUUGCUCUUACGGGUGGCGAGUGGCGGACGGGUGAGAAAUACAUCGGAAUCUACUUUUUCGUGGGUGAUAACGUAGGGCAACUUACGCUAAUACCGCAUACGACCUACGGGUGAAAGCAGGGGAUCUUCGGACCUUGCGCGAUUGAAUGAGCCGAUGUCGGAUUAGCUAGUUGGCGGGGUAAAGGCCCACCAAGGCGACGAUCCGUAGCUGGUCUGAGAGGAUGAUCAGCCACACUGGAACUGAGACACGGUCCAGACUCCUACGGGAGGCAGCAGUGGGGAAUAUUGGACAAUGGGCGCAAGCCUGAUCCAGCCAUACCGCGUGGGUGAAGAAGGCCUUCGGGUUGUAAAGCCCUUUUGUUGGGAAAGAAAAGCAGCAGGUGAAUACCCCGCUGUUCUGACGGUACCCAAAGAAUAAGCACCGGCUAACUUCGUG